rnacentral:rRNA from 1 species
AGUGAACGCUGGCGGUAGGCCUAACACAUGCAAGUCGAACGGCAGCACAGUAAGAGCUUGCUCUUACGGGUGGCGAGUGGCGGACGGGUGAGGAAUACAUCGGAAUCUACUUUUUCGUGGGGGGUAACGUAGGGAAACUUACGCUAAUACCGCAUACGACCUACGGGUGAAAGCAGGGGAUCUUCGGACCUUGCGCGAUUGAAUGAGCCGAUGUCGGAUUAGCUAGUUGGCGGGGUAAAGGCCCACCAAGGCGACGAUCCGUAGCUGGUCUGAGGGGAUGAUCAGCCACACUGGGACUGAGACACGGUCCAGACUCCUAUGGGAGGCAGCAGUGGGGAAUAUUGGACAAUGGGCGCAAGCCUGAUCCAGCCAUACCGCGUGGGUGAAGAAGGCCUUCGGGUUGUAAAGCCCUUUUGUUGUGAAAGAAAAGCAGCAGGUUAAUACCCCGCUGUUCUGACGGUACCCAAAGAAUAAGCACCGGCUAACUUCGUG